CUCUCUUUCUCCUGUUCCAGCAAUGUAAGAGGAGCUGGCUUCACCUUCACCUUCGCCAUGAUUGAAGGUUUCCUGAGGCCUCCCCAGAAGCUGAACAGAGGCCAGUAUCAUGCUUCCUGUACAGCCUGCAGAACUGCAGCCAAACCAUGACAGGAGGUCAGCGUCGGUGGAGGCAUGGCUGGUGCGAGCAGACAUCAAUCACCUUGGGUGGGAGACUGGGUUCUGGCUUCACGUGAAGACAUCUGCUCCCAGGCUCUCUGAGACAACAGUGAAUUCUGCUUAGAGAUGAAAUUGCACAUGAAGGAGAAUGUAGAGCAGAAUCCCUGAAACCUGAUGAUCCCUUUAAAGGAGUUUGGAGAACUUCAAGCACAGCCUCUCCACUAAACACCAUUCAACUGGAGGCCAAGGAGCCACAUUACUGAAUUACUCCUUGAAAAUAAUACAAUAGAAUAAAUGAACAAUAGAGAAACC
rnacentral:lncRNA from 10 species